UGGUCUAAAGGGUCUGUAGCCGGCCGGAUAAGUCUCUUGAGAAAUCUGGCAGCUUAACUGUCAGGCUUUCAGGAGAUACUGUCUGGCUCGAGGCCGGGAGAGGUGAGAGGUACUUCAGGGGUAGGGGUGAAAUCUUGUAAUCCUUGAAGGACCACCAGUGGCGAAGGCGUCUCACCAGAACGGACCUGACGGCAAGGGACGAAAGCUAGGGGCACGAACCGGAUUAGAUACCCGGGUAGUCCUAGCCGUAAACGAUACUCGCUAGGUGUCGGCCACGGUGCGACCGUUGUCGGUGCCGUAGGGAAGCCGUGAAGCGAGCCACCUGGGAAGUACGGCCGCAAGGCUGAAACUUAAAGGAAUUGGCGGGGGAGCACCACAACGGGUGGAGCUUGCGGUUUAAUUGGAUUCAACGCCGGAAAUCUUACCGGGACCGACAGCAAUAUGAAGGCCAGGCUGAAGACUUUGCCGGAUUAGCUGAGAGGUGGUGCAUGGCCGUCGUCAGUUCGUACUGUGAAGCAUCCUGUUAAGUCAGGUAACGAGCGAGACCCNNNNNNNNAUNNCNNNNNNNNNNNNNNNUNUCCGGUUGAUCCUGCCAGAGGUUACUGCUAUCGAGGUUCGACUAAGCCAUGCGAGUCGAAUGUAGCAAUACAUGGCGUACUGCUCAGUAACACGUGGACAACCUGCCCUUAGGUUGGGUAUAAACCCGGGAAACUGGGUAUAAUCCCCUAUAAGUCUCGGCUGCUGGAAUGCACCGAGAUUAAAAGCUCCGGCGCCUAAGGAUGGGUCUGCGGCCUAUCAGGUAGUAGUGGGUGUAGCGUACCUACUAGCCUACGACGGGUACGGGUUGUGAGAGCAAGAGCCCGGAGAUGGAUUCUGAGACACGAAUCCAGGCCCUACGGGGUGCAGCAGGCGCGAAAACUUUACAAUGCUGGCAACAGCGAUAAGGGAACCUCGAGUGCCAGGUUACAAAUCUGGCUGUCGAGAUGCCUAAAAAGCAUUUCAUAGCAAGGGCCGGGCAAGACCGGUGCCAGCCGCCGCGGUAACACCGGC
rnacentral:rRNA from 1 species